GAUGAACGCUGGCGGCGUGCCUAACACAUGCAAGUCGAACGGAGAACCAGGGAGCUUGCUCCCUUCGGGUUAGCGGCGAACGGGUGAGUAACACGUGAGCAAUCUUCCCCUAACUCUGGGAUAAGCGCUGGAAACGACAUCUAAUACCGGAUACUACGCUGUACGGCAUCCUCCCCGCGUGAAAAGAACUUCGGCUGUGGAUGAGCGCGCGGUCCACCAGCUUGUUGGUGAGGUAACGGCUCACCAAGUCGCCGACGGGUGGCGGGUAUCGGAGCGUGACCGGCGACAAUGGGACUGAGAGACGGACCAGACUCGUACGGGAGGCAGCAGUGGGGAAUAUUGCACAGUGGGCGCAAGCCUGAUGCAGCAGCGCCGCGUGAGGGAAGACGGCCUUCGGGUUGUAAACCUCUUUUAGCAGGGAAGAAGCGAAAGUGACGGUACCUGAAGAAAAAGCACCGGCUAACUACGUG
rnacentral:rRNA from 1 species